rnacentral:rRNA from 1 species
AGAGAGAGACAUGCGCGCAUAUCAAUAAGCGGAGGAAAAGAAACUAACAAGGAUUCCCCUAGUAACGGCGAGUGAAGCGGGAAGAGCUCAAAUUUGAAAUCUUAAAGGGUUUCCCUUUACGAAUUGUAGUUUAAAGAAGUGUUUUCUGUUGAGGUUUUGGUAAAAGUUCUUUGGAAUAGGACAUCAUAGAGGGUGAGAAUCCCGUAUUUGACCUUUACUUUCAACUUUGUGAUACACUUUCAAAGAGUCGGAUUGCUUGGGAAUGCAGUCCAAAAUGGGUGGUAAAUUUCAUCUAGAGCUAAAUAUUGGCGAGAGACCGAUAGCGAACAAGUACCGUGAGGGAAAGAUGAAAAGAACUUUGAAAAGAGAGUUAAACAGUACGUGAAAUUGUCAAAAGGGAAGCGUUUGACACCAGUGUUGUUUUUCUGAAAAUCAAUUAAAGAACUGUUUAUGCUAAGCUGUUUAGACUUUAUCAGCUAACUGUUUAGUUUUGAGCUUUUCUUUAAUGCACUUUUCAGUUAACAAGUCAACAUCAAUUUCUUUUGCUGUAAAAAAGCUUGAGGAAGGUGGCUUGAGAUUCGUCUUAAGUGUUUAUAGCCUCUUGCCUAUGCAGUCGGAGAGAUUGAGGUCUGCAGCGUAGAUCCUUCGGGGCUAAAUGCAUUUGUGCUAAGUUAUAGCAUUUUAUAGACAACUUGUUGACUAUGAUUUGUCUUGUAGCUUACUCGCUUAUGUUAUUUUACCUACGCUUAGGAUGUUGAGCGCAUGUCUCUCUCU